rnacentral:ncRNA from 1 species
GAAAUCGCGAUGAUUGUAGUUAGUAGGUGGUAAUGACUGCUUUUUAGAGAGCCGGUGGUUGGUGAAAAUCGGUACAUUAUUAUCAAACCGAAUUACCCUACAAGAGCUGAAUAGACGAAGCUGAAAAAUCGUCUUUUCCGGGAAUCCCGUUAUGCAAUGAAGUGAAGAAGACAGACCCCACAAAAGUAAUUAGAAUAGCUUUUAAGGAGGGCAUCACAUUUGUGGGCAUUAAUUUUCCUGUUUUUUUAAGUAGGGUGGUAACGCGUCUAAACCACGUCCCUAGC